rnacentral:rRNA from 1 species
UACGAAGGGUGCAAACGUUGCUCGGAAUUAUUGGGCGUAAAGCGCACGUAGGCGGCCUUGUAAGUCGGGUGUGAAAUCCCUUGGCUUAACCAAGGAAGUGCACUCGAUACUGAUUCGCUUGAGUAUCGGAGGGGACGGCGGAAUUCCCGGUGUAGAGGUGAAAUUCGUAGAUAUCGGGAGGAACACCUGUGGCGAAGGCGGCCGUCUGGACGAUUACUGACACUGAGACGCGAAAGCGUGGGUAGCAAACAGG